rnacentral:rRNA from 1 species
AGCGAACGCUGGCGGCAGGCUUAACACAUGCAAGUCGAGCGGGCCCUUCGGGGUCAGCGGCGGACGGGUGAGUAACGCGUGGGAACGUGCCUUCUGGUUCGGAAUAACUCAGGGAAACUUGAGCUAAUACCGGAUACGCCCUUUUGGGGAAAGGUUUACUGCCGGAAGAUCGGCCCGCGUCUGAUUAGCUAGUUGGUGGGGUAACGGCCUACCAAGGCGACGAUCAGUAGCUGGUCUGAGAGGAUGAUCAGCCACACUGGGACUGAGACACGGCCCAGACUCCUACGGGAGGCAGCAGUGGGGAAUAUUGGACAAGGGGCGCAAGCCUGAUCCAGCCAUGCCGCGUGAGUGAUGAAGGCCUUAGGGUUGUAAAGCUCUUUUAUCCGGGACGAUAAUGACGGUACCGGAGGAAUAAGCCCCGGCUAACUUCGUG